rnacentral:rRNA from 1 species
UACGUAGGGUGCAAGCGUUAAUCGGAAUUACUGGGCGUAAAGCGUGCGCAGGCGGUUUUGUAAGUCUGUCGUGAAAGCCCCGGGCUCAACCUGGGAAUUGCAUUGGAGACUGCAAGGCUUGAAUCUGGCAGAGGGGGGUAGAAUUCCACGUGUAGCAGUGAAAUGCGUAGAGAUGUGGAGGAACACCGAUGGCGAAGGCAGCCCCCUGGGUCAAGAUUGACGCUCAUGCACGAAAGCGUGGGGAGCAAACAGG